rnacentral:rRNA from 1 species
UCUACAAUGCAGGCAACUGCGAUAGGGGGACAUCGAGUGGCAUCCACCUUGGGUGCCUGUCCCACCGUCUAAAAAACGGUGGUUAGCAAGGGCCGGGCAAGACCGGUGCCAGCCGCCGCGGUAAUACCGGCGGCUCGAGUGGUGGCCGAUAUUAUUGAGUCUAAAGGGUCUGUAGCCGGCUUUGCAAGUCCCCUGGGAAAUCCAGCGGCUUAACCGUUGGGCUUUCAUGGGAUAAUACAUUGUUUGGGACUGGGAGAGGUAGGAGGUACUCGGGGGGUAGGGGUGAAAUCCUGUAAUCCCCCGGGGACCACCGGUGGCGAAGGCGUCCUACCAGAACAGGUCCGACGGUGAGGGACGAAAGCUAGGGGCACGAACCGGAUUAGAUACCCGGGUAGUCCUAGCCGUAAACGAUGCCCGCUAGGUGUCACGGCGGUCGUGAAUCGCCGUGGUGCCGUAGGGAAGCCGCGAAGCGGGCCACUUGGGAAGUACGGCCGCAAGGCUGAAACUUAAAGGAAUUGGCGGGGGAGCAC